UUCAACCAUUUAUGCCAUUAAGAAUGGAAGAGGGACAAGAUUAUAACAGAGGCUAGAGGCCUGAACAGCAGCGAGAGUGGAAAUGAUCACAGAAACUUCCCUAUCUUUGAGAGUCAUUCCUCUAGAUCAGCCUGAACCUCCUCCACUUUGAGACUCCUGACUGUUGACGUUUUACUGUUGAUGUAACUACGGCAUACAGCAUCUCUACUCUUUGGAGAUUUUCUGCUCCUCCUGCUUUGGCUUGCACAGGAAGUAAGAUCAUCCAACAAGGAAAACUCUUGCUGAAAUAAUUUUGCCGACCUUGUGCAACUCUUAUACUAGAAAGAUUCAUGAUUCAGUACCACUUCAAGUCUAGUGUCGCCAUCUCUAAGCGGUCUCAGGCUGUGUGUCCAACCUCGGGCAGAUGCCUUCCACAGCCCCAGCCCACGGGACAUGCCUCCACCCACAUCCUUGCUCCGUACCAAAGACAUGGUCAUCCCUGGGUUCCCCUGGCAGAAAGUAGAAGAAAGAAAAGAAGCAUGACCCUUCCUAAGGGAGCUGGUGAUUGCAAAAUCAGGAAUGACGAGCACAGACAGCCCACAAGCUCCUAGCAAGCAGUGGAAAUUGGAGCAGACUUCCUGCUUCUCUCUUAUACACCAGAGAAACAGCCUAAUGAAUGUGUUAGCAUGUAAGUUUAAUUUUAGACUAGGUCAUAUUAACACAUGAAAACAUUACUUGUCUCCAGAUAUUGAACAGGAGAAAGAGACUUAUGUGAAAAAGAGAAAGUAAGGCUUGUUGGAAAGCUGUCAUUGAUAGAGUUUUCCUAAUGCAAAAUUGAUGCUUCAGAGAAACCAAAAUCUUGAUGAAAAUGUUAUCAAUUUCCAUGAUGUUAGUUAGAAUAAAAUGACCAAUGGAAAAUAUUUUAAAAUAUUA
rnacentral:lncRNA from 1 species